rnacentral:rRNA from 1 species
UACGUAGGGGGCAAGCGUUGUCCGGAAUCAUUGGGCGUAAAGCGCGUGUAGGCGGCUUCGUAAGUCCGUUGUGAAAGUCCAGGGCUCAACCCUGGAAUGCCGAUGGAUACUGCGGAGCUAGAGUCCGGAAGAGGCGAGUGGAAUUCCUGGUGUAGCGGUGAAAUGCGCAGAUAUCAGGAGGAACACCGGUGGCGAAGGCGGUUCUCUGGGAAUGUCCUGACGCUGAGGAGCGAAAGUGUGGGGAGCGAACAGG